UACGGGGGGGGCAAGCGUUGUUCGGAAUUACUGGGCGUAAAGCGUGCGUAGGUGGUUCGUUAAGUCUGAUGUGAAAGCCCUGGGCUCAACCUGGGAAUGGCAUUGGAUACUGGCGACCUAGAGUGCGGUAGAGGAUCGCGGAAUUCCCGGUGUAGAGGUGAAAUUCGUAGAUAUCGGGAGGAACACCAGUGGCGAAGGCGGCGAUCGGGGUCGAUACUGACGCUGAGGUGCGAAAGCGUGGGGAGCAAACAGG
rnacentral:rRNA from 1 species